CCCAAGCCAACCAAUAGCAGUAUGGACUUGGGAUAGUAACCAAUUACACUGCAUAUCCCAAGCCAGCCAGUAGCAGCAUGGACUUGGAAUAGAACCAAUUACACUACAUAUCCCAAGUCAACCAAUAGCAGUAUGGAUUUGGGAUAGUAACCAAUUACACUCGAUAUCCCAAGCCAACCAAUAGCAGUAUGGACUUGGGAUAGUAACCAAUUACACUAGAUAUCCCAAGCCAACCAAUAGCAGCAUGGACUUGGGAUAGUAACCAAUCACACUACAUAUCCCAAGUCAACCAAUAGCAGUAUGGACGUGGGCUAGUAACCAAUUACACUACAUAUCCCAAGCCAACCAAUAGCAGCAUGGACUUGGGAUAGUAACCAAUCACACUACAUAUCCCAAGUCAACCAAUAGCAGUAUGGACGUGGGCUAGUAACCAAUUACACUACAUAUCCCAAGCCAACCAAUAGCAGUAUGGACGUGGGCUAGUAACCAAUUACACUACAUAUCCCAAGCCAACCAAUAGCAGUAUGGACUUGGGAUAGUAACCAAUUACACUACAUAUCCCAAGCCAACCAAUAGCAGUAUGGAUUUGGGAUAGUAACCAAUUACACUACAUAUCCCAAGCCAACCAAUAGCAGUAUGGGCUUGGGAUAGUAACCAAUUACACUACAUAUCCCAAGCCAACCAAUAGCAGUAUGGACUUGGGAUAGUAACCAAUUACACUACAUAUCCCAAGCCAACCAAUAGCAGUAUGGGCUUGGGAUAGUAACCAAUUACACUGCAUAUCCCAAGCCAACCAAUAGCAGUAUGGGCUUGGGAUAGUAACCAAUUACACUACAUAUCCCAAGCCAACCAAUAGCAGCAUGGACUUGGGAUAGUAACCAAUCACACUACAUAUCCCAAGCCAACCAAUAGCCGUAUGGAUUGGGAUAGUAACAAAUUACACUCGAUAUCCCAAGCCAACCAAUAGCAGUAUGGAC